rnacentral:lncRNA from 1 species
GGCGACCGAGCGCGGCGGUGGGGAUGGAGGGGAGGCCGGCGGUGGGGGAAUGGAGAGGAGGCUGGCGGUCUGGAAGGGGAGGAGCUCGGUGGCGGCGGGGAUGGAGGGGAGAGGUCGUCGCGGGCGGUCGCGCGCGAGGCGGCCGGUCCGCGACGGUGGCGUAGCGGCGCUGUGUCGGGCAGAGGAGGGAGGCGGCGCGAAGGAGAGGUGGAGGGAGGUCGCCGCGGGGACGGUGGCGCGGCUCAGGCGGAGGGGGGCGGCGCGGCGCGGUGGCUAGGCCGCGCGCGCACGGGAGGGAGGCGACGUCGAGGGGAGGAGAGGAGGAAGGGAGUGGCGGGUCUGGGAAGGAGGAGGUCAGGGCGUCGGCCAGCGAUGCCGCGCGCACGUACGGCGUGGGUGACGCGCGCAAGGCGGCGACGGCGCGGCCGGGCUCGACGCUGCCACGGGCGUCGAUGCUCGGCUCGGUUCGUCCUCGCGUGCCGAGUGCUCGACCGAGGUCCUCAGAGGUUCGUUUUCAAUAUAUUUUAGUUUGGUUACGUCCACGGUUCGAGUUCGAAUGCUAGUUUCUGUUACGUUCAAUCGUUCAUGUGUUCAGAUGUUCAAAGGUUCGAUCGUUCUCACGUUCGUUCGUUUGAUCGUGCAAGGGAGUUCGCGGAACGGCGCGGCGGCCAACUCCAACCUGCCUCUUGCCCAACCGAGGCUCGGCUCGUGGCCAGCCGCGGCGGAGCAAGCGGCGAAUGCGCUGGAUAGAGGAGUGCAGAGCAUGGAGGUGGAGGGGAAGGAAAAAAUGGAGAGUAGGGAGAGGAGGGGAAGGAAGGAAUGGAUUUUUUGCGCCGAUCCGUGAAUUUAUUUAUAGGUUAAAUAGAUGAUAACUAAUGAAUUUUUGCGUCGUGGUCCAGUUUGCCGCAUCUAGAGAUACAAGUGGAUGAAUCUAUAAGUCAAAUUAAUAGGUAAUCCGCGAGUCAAACCUGUAGGUUCCCCACUCAUUUUGCCUAUAAGCGGUUUGCGGACAAGACCGCUUGCAACCUUAAAUUGUGGUGGCCGGAAUGUAGGAGGCAGCUAUGCAUGGCUCCCUGGACUUGGCGUUGUUUCUCGGUGUGGACUAUCCCUCAUUGUUGCUUGUGGUUUGGGGAUGUUUUUGGUGGGCUGGGAGCAUGGGUGCAUGGGUGGUUGCUGGGGAGGGGACCCUACUGAGUUGAAGGCUGGCGAAUCUUGGUUCAAAUAAGUGUUGUGGCGAGGAUGGAUUUUAAUCUCUCAUGUGGACAUUCACAUAUUUCUUAUAUGCCACCUAAAUGAUUAUAAAAAAAUCAAAAAAAAAAUUACAAGAUAGGUUAAUAUGUAAUAUAUCACUUCACAAACAUGCAAACAUGCAAGUUCAAAUUCGACUUCUAUAAGUUGUAACAAAAACAACAAAUUAAACUCUAACGAGUAUACGUAUAUUCACAGUCAAAUUUGUUAUUUUUGUUAUAAUUUGUAGAAGUCGAAUUUGAACUUGCGUGUUUGUGAAGUGAUAUAUUACAUAUUAACCUAUCAUGUCAAUUUUUUUGAAAAUUUUUCAUAACUAUUUAGAUGACAUGCAAGAAACGGGUUGACAUUCACCCGAGUGUUUAAAACAGUUUCCCGUGUUGUGGCUUGUAGGCAAUUCAUCGAACACACUCUAUGCUUGCAUGCUGGCUGUGGCCUGUGGCAAAGCAGAGGGAGGGAAUGUGGACUUCAGGCCGAGAGAGGGCUGCUAGGUCGGCUGUAGUUUUGAGAAUAUGGAGGGGAAACAGACUUGCUGUGGGGGAUGAGUUGGGCUGGCAGGGAAGGGAAGUCCCACUUGAAUGGAAACAUAUCUUGUAAUUUGCUAGAGUUUGUAAUUUGGAAUCUGCACUGUAUAAGUUGGACAUUUAAUUUGGCGAUUUUGCUAGAUAUUUGUCAUCAAAUUUCUCCCCCUAAUAUUUGUCAGAUGUAAUUACAGUACAAUCGUAGUGUAAUUAUACUGUAACUUGCAUGUAAUUACACUGUAACUAUAAUGUAACUUGUACGUAACUUUCAAGAAUCUCUCGGUAACAUGUUAUUUCAGUAAAAUAGAGGUCGUGGGAACAAAUUCUUUCAUAUAUGUGUGUGAUGUGAUUUUUUU